UACGGAGGGUGCGAGCGUUAUCCGGAUUCACUGGGUUUAAAGGGUGCGUAGGAGGGCAGGUAAGUCAGUGGUGAAAUCUCCAAGCUUAACUUGGAAACUGCCGUUGAUACUAUCUGUCUUGAAUAUUGUGGAGGUGAGCGGAAUAUGUCAUGUAGCGGUGAAAUGCUUAGAUAUGACAUAGAACACCAAUUGCGAAGGCAGCUCACUACACAAUCAUUGACUCUGAGGCACGAAAGCGUGGGGAUCAAACAGG
rnacentral:rRNA from 1 species